AUACGUAGGGGGCGAGCGUUGUCCGGAAUGAUUGGGCGUAAAGGGCGCGUAGGCGGCCCGGUAAGUCUGGAGUGAAAGUCCUGUUUUUAAGAUGGGAAUUGCUUUGGAUACUGUCGGGCUUGAGUGCAGGAGAGGUAAGUGGAAUUCCCAGUGUAGCGGUGAAAUGCGUAGAGAUUGGGAGGAACACCAGUGGCGAAGGCGACGUACUGGACUGUAACUGACGCUGAGGCGCGAAAGUGUGGGGAGCAAACAGGAUUAGAUACCCUGGUAGUCCACACUGUAAACGAUGAAUGCUAGGUGUAAGAGGUAUCGACCCCUUUUGUGCCGGAGUCAACACAAUAAGCAUUCCGCCUGGGGAGUACGGCCGCAAGGUUGAAACUCAAAUGAAUUGACGGGG
rnacentral:rRNA from 1 species